rnacentral:sRNA from 1 species
GCUGGGCAUGGUGGCACAUGCCUGUAAUUCCAGCAGCUUAGGAGGCUGAGACAGGAGGAUUGCAAGUUCAAAGCCAGCUUCAACAGUGGCGAGGUGCUUAGCAGUUCAGUGAGACCCUGUCUCUA